rnacentral:rRNA from 1 species
UACGGAGGGUGCAAGCGUUGUCCGGAAUUAUUGGGCGUAAAGCGCGCGCAGGCGGUCUCCUAAGUCCGAUGUGAAAGCCCACGGCUCAACCGUGGAGGGUCAUUGGAAACUGGGGGACUUGAGUGCAGGAGAGAAGAGUGGAAUUCCACGUGUAGCGGUGAAAUGCGUAGAGAUGUGGAGGAACACCAGUGGCGAAGGCGACUCUUUGGCCUGUAACUGACGCUGAGGCGCGAAAGCGUGGGGAGCAAACAGG